GAUGUGGCACGUGCUAGCCAGGAGAUGUUGGCGUAAAAAACUGAAGAGAAGAAAUUCUAUGGGGAACUUCUGAAGGUAUAAGAAAUGAGUACGCUAGAUGUUGCGAGAACGGAACUUGCUCUACGUGUUUUGUAUUUGAACAAAGCUGAAGCCCGGGACAAGAUAUGCAGGGCAAUACAAUACGGUUCAAAUUUUGUAAGUAAUGGCAAGCCAGGAACUGCCCAAAAUGUUGACAAGUCAACUAGCUUGGCUACGAAAGUUUUCCGUCUUUUUAAGUUUGUCAAUGAUUUGCAUGCUCUUAUCAGUCCAACUGCUCCAGGAACUCUGCUUCCACUUGUUUUACUGGGGAAG